AAGACUAUAGACCUGCGGAGUACCUGCGGAGGGAUCAUUACCGAGUUUACAACUCCCAAACCCAAUGUGAACGUUACCAAACUGUUGCCUCGGCGGGAUCUCCGCCCCGGGUGCGUCGCAGCCCCGGACCAAGGCGCCCGCCGGAGGACCAACCAAAACUCUUUUGUAUACCCCCUCGCGGGUUUUUUAUAUCUGAGCCAUCUCGGCGCCUCUCGUAGGCGUUUCGAAAAUGAAUCAAAA
rnacentral:misc_RNA from 1 species